rnacentral:lncRNA from 1 species
UGAGGAAACAGAAUGCUGCAACAUUACUACUUGUGACCAAAAAUAUAAACAUACUUCAAUGCCGUUGGUAAUAGGGCUUAAACCAGAUUGGACUGAACUGAGCUAGGAACCAGUCGGUUCUGGUGCGAUUUGGCUCCUGUCUUACCUAUGGAACUGUUCCACAUGUAAAAUUCCCAGUUGAAACUGGUUUUGUCUGGAUCUGAGGAAAACUGGACGUGACUGUUUUUUGCUCUUCCCUAGCCACACUUUGAAGGAUUGGGAAAGGGAAAAAAAUCUUGAAAGAAUCUACUAUGUUGAUCUUAAGUUUCAUUAUUAGAAAGGGAGUGCAAACUAGAGCAGUAAACAGAUGUACAUUGAAUAAAUCAUUUUUAUUUAGCGAGUUGUUUGUUUCUCUUUUCCUGGUUGUCUGUUUGUGGGUGGAACGUAGGUGCCCUAAUCAUCCAAGAGUCCGUGAAAAUGCUCGCAAAAUAUGAUUUAGCAGCAGACUUGACAAUUCGCAUUCACAAUAUUUAUUUGAAAACUUUGUCUAAUAAGUUGCAACUUCCUUAAUUAACCACUUGAAAAGAAAAAAGUUUGAAUUUUAACUGUCCUUGCAAUGGGACCCAUAAACUAUGCUCCUCCUGAAAGAAGGAUAGGUCUUGCUCUGUCGUACUUUGGAACACUAGGGGCUGCUUUCUUUGGUUCGCUCAAAGUUCAUUUCUCUUGAAAAAUGUUUCUAAAUUGUUUACAUUAUACAAGUUUCUGUCUAAGUAAUUGUUAUUUAUUAUUGGGUUAGAUAUAGCACUUAAUGCUGCAGAAAGUGAUUUUGAUGUCUGACAUAUGUAGGAUUGUGGGACACUGCAUGAUAGUGGCUAUCUUGUACCUAAAGCAUCUCUCUCACAUUCUCCCAAAACUUAGAUUCGAAGCUUGGUUGCAGACUCUCAUGUUGAUCCUUGGAUCUUGGGCCACUUGAUUUUUUUGUUUUCAAAAUAAUUAUUUUGGGAAUGGUGUUACAUGGAGUUCAUUCUCUCAUGAAUUUGCAUCUAAUAGUAUCUUUCUUUAUAAGUUUAUGCUGAGUUUACAUUGUUUCUGGAUCUGUAGCGCAUAACAAUGAAGAUGACUGGGCCACAAAAGCUAGAGCAUGGGCAGCUGCGAAAGCUGCAACUGAACAUCAGCUUCCUCAAUCUCAGGUUACUCCAGCAGGAAGGCUAGAAGAGCAGAAUAAUUUUCAUGAUCAAUAUUCUCAAUCUGUUGAUACUCAACUUAUGGAUGUGCAGC